GCCCUUAGAGUUUGAUCCUGGCUCAGAUUGAACGCUGGCGGCAUGCCUUACACAUGCAAGUCGAACGGUAACAGGUCUUCGGAUGCUGACGAGUGGCGAACGGGUGAGUAAUACAUCGGAACGUGCCCGAUCGUGGGGGAUAACGAGGCGAAAGCUUUGCUAAUACCGCAUACGAUCUACGGAUGAAAGCGGGGGAUCUUCGGACCUCGCGCGGACGGAGCGGCCGAUGGCAGAUUAGGUAGUUGGUGGGAUAAAAGCUUACCAAGCCGACGAUCUGUAGCUGGUCUGAGAGGAUGAUCAGCCACACUGGGACUGAGACACGGCCCAGACUCCUACGGGAGGCAGCAGUGGGGAAUUUUGGACAAUGGGCGAAAGCCUGAUCCAGCCAUGCCGCGUGCAGGAUGAAGGCCUUCGGGUUGUAAACUGCUUUUGUACGGAACGAAAAGCCUCUUUCUAAUAAAGAGGGGUCAUGACGGUACCGUAAGAAUAAGCACCGGCUAACUACGUGCCAGCAGCCGCGGUAAUACGUAGGGUGCAAGCGUUAAUCGGAAUUACUGGGCGUAAAGCGUGCGCAGGCGGUUUUGUAAG
rnacentral:rRNA from 1 species